rnacentral:rRNA from 1 species
AGUGGCGGACGGGUGAGUAACGCGUGAGAAUCUGCCUUGGGGUCGGGGACAACCACUGGAAACGGUGGCUAAUACCGGAUAAGCCGAUUGGUGAAAGAUUUAUUGCCCGAAGAGGAGCUCGCGUCUGAUUAGCUAGUUGGUGAGGUAAAGGCUCACCAAGGCGACGAUCAGUAGCUGGUCUGAGAGGAUGAUCAGCCACACUGGGACUGAGACACGGCCCAGACUCCUACGGGAGGCAGCAGUGGGGAAUUUUCCGCAAUGGGGGCAACCCUGACGGAGCAAGACCGCGUGAGGGAGGAAGGCUCUUGGGUUGUAAACCUCUUUUCUCAGGGAAGAAGCUCUGACGGUACCUGAGGAAUCAGCCUCGGCUAACUCCGUGCCAGCAGCCGCGGUAAUACGGAGGAGGCAAGCGUUAUCCGGAAUUAUUGGGCGUAAAGCGUCCGCAGGUGGCGAUUCAAGUCUGCUGUCAAAGCACGGGGCUUAACUCCGUAAAGGCAGUGGAAACUGAAUAGCUAGAGUGCCGUAGGGGUAGAGGGAAUUCCCGGUGUAGCGGUGAAAUGCGUAGAGAUCGGGAAGAACAUCGGUGGCGAAAGCGCUCUACUGGACGGCAACUGACACUCAGGGACGAAAGCUAGGGGAGCGAAUGGGAUUAGAUACCCC